rnacentral:rRNA from 1 species
AGUCGAACGAAGUAGCAAUACUUAGUGGCAGACGGGUGAGUAACAUGUAGGUAUCUUCCCUUUGGUGAGGAAUAACACGAGGAAACUUGUGCUAAUACCUCAUAAGUCUUUACGGAGAAAGCUUUAUGCGCCAGAGGAUGAGCCUGCAUUUGAUUAGUUUGUUGGUGGGGUAAUGGCCUACCAAGACUUUGAUCAAUAGCUGAUCUGAGAGGAUGAUCAGCCACAUUGGGACUGAGACACGGUCCAAACUCCUACGGGAGGCAGCAGUAGGGAAUAUUGCACAAUGGAGGAAACUCUGAUGCAGCGAUGCCGCGUGAGUGAAGAAGGCCUUUGGGUUGUAAAGCUCCUUCGUCGGGGAAGAAAAUGACUGUACCCGAAUAAGAAGGUCCGGCUAACUUCGCGCCAGCAGCCGCGGUAAUACGAAGGGACCUAGCGUAGUUCGGAAUUACUGGGCUUAAAGAGUUCGUAGGUUGUUAAAAAAGUUGGUGGUGGAAUCCCAGAGCUUAACUCUGGAACUGCCAUCAAAACUUUUUAGCUAGAGUAUGAUAGAGGAAAGCAUAAUUUCUAGUGUAGAGGUGAAAUUCGUAGAUAUUAGAAAGAAUACCAAUUGCGAAGGCAGCUUUCCGGAUCAUUACUGAUACUGAGGAACGAAAGCAUGGGUAGCGAAGAGGAUUAGAUACCCUCGUAGUCCAUGCCGUAAACGAUGUGUGUUAGACGUUGGAAAUUUAUUUCCAGUGUCGCAGCGAAAGCAUUAAACACACCGCCUGGGGAGUAUGACCGCAAGGUUAAAACUCAAAUGAAUUGACGGGGACCCGCACAAGUAGUGGAGCAUGUGGUUUAAUUCGAAGAUACGCGCAGAACCUUACCAACACUUGACAUGUUCGUCGCGACUUUAAGAGAUUAAAGUUUUCGGUUCGGCCGGACGAAACACAGGUGCUGCAUGGCUGUCGUCAGCUCGUG